rnacentral:rRNA from 1 species
AGUGAACGCUGGCGGUAGGCCUAACACAUGCAAGUCGAACGGCAGCACAGUAAGAGCUUGCUCUUACGGGUGGCGAGUGGCGGACGGGUGAGGAAUACAUCGGAAUCUACUUUUUCGUGGGGGAUAACGUAGGGAAACUUACGCUAAUACCGCAUACGACCUACGGGUGAAAGCAGGGGAUCUUCGGACCUUGCGCGAUUGAAUGAGCCGAUGUCGGAUUAGCUGGUUGGCGGGGUAAAGGCCCACCAAGGCGACGAUCCGUAGCUGGUGUGAGGGAAUGAUCGGCCACACUGGAGCUGAGACACGGUCCAGGCGACUACGAGAGGGAGCAGUGGGGAAUAUUGGACAAUGGGCGCAAGCCUGAUCCAGCCAUACCGCGUGGGUGAAGAAGGCCUUCGGGUUGUGAAGCCCUUUUGUUGGGAAAGAAAAGCAGCAGGUUAAUACCCCGCUGUUCUGACGGUACCCAAAGAAUAAGCACCGGCUAACUUCGUG